AUGACACUGCUUUACUUGGAGGAUGCAUUCAGAUUCAUUUUCUGUGUGGCACUAUUCAUUUUGGAAUUCUUAUUUGAUUCCAUAUACACUGACCCCAUCCUUAUACUGCAAGGCACUGUUAAAAUAGCCUGCAUACUCAAUAAAUGGCUUCUGUACAACAGCUUAUUAGAAAAAAAACACCCUGAUUCAACAAACACAAAAUUACAUCUUCAUAAAUGCAAUCAGAAGAAAACAACAGAGGAAACAGAGAAGAAUCACAGGAACUGUACAUGCUGCUCGUUGAAGGUAUUCAGUUGUCCUCCUACUCUUCUGCCGUUAGAUGACACAACGAGAAGGCCUCACCAUAUGCUAGCACCAUGCUCUUGGACUUAUCAGCCUCUAGAACUACCCUGUUUUGUGAUGCUGAAAUUAGAAAUCUGCAAAACACAUUUCUGCCCUGCUACUUGGCUCAAUAAUUUGCUCUUCCAAAAAGAUGCUCUAGAGAAAGACUACAAUCCUGGAGGAAGAAGAGGCACCUGCUCGUUCCUGUUUUUGUGGCAUCCUGUGAGCUCCUUAUCUGCUUGUAACUCUCAGUCACUGCAGCAGUGUUUCUUUACCUAA
rnacentral:lncRNA from 1 species